UGUGACAGACAGGGCUGUGGGUGGUAGUUUGUCCCUCAUGGUGUUCCAUAGAUGAACAUUCAUGGCCAGCACCUGUCUGUUGAGCUGUGAUUGGCUCACAAGGCUGAUAAAUAGCAGCAGUGGGAGUUCCAUCUAGGUGCUGGUUUCCUGGUUUGGCCUUGGUGGUGGCAUGAGUUCUGACCCUGGGGCAUGAGAGUAUCUUGGUGUCUGGACCUGGCUGAAGGUGGCUGCCUCCUCUUAUCCUUAUGGUAGCUGGUGGGUGCCAUAUAUAGUACUGUGUAAGGGGGACUCCCCUGUUUUCAGCCCAUAAAUUGGUGGUGACCUGCUCAGGUGCACCUCUUCUGUUUUGUAUUUUCUUUUAAUCACUGUUUGGGUUGUGGUGUGUUUUUGUGUGCAUUUGGGCCCUGAGCAGGUGCUCCUGGUGAGAGUUGGA